rnacentral:rRNA from 1 species
UACAGAGGGGGCAAGCGUUGUUCGGAAUUACUGGGCGUAAAGGGCGCGUAGGCGGCCUGUUAAGUCGAACGUGAAAUCCCCGGGCUCAACCCGGGAACUGCGUCCGAUACUGGCAGGCUUGAAUCCGGGAGAGGGAUGCGGAAUUCCUGGUGUAGCGGUGAAAUGCGCAGAUAUCAGGAGGAACACCGGUGGCGAAGGCGGCUUGCUGGGCCUUACCUGACGCUGAGGAGCGAAAGCGUGGGGAGCGAACAGG